rnacentral:rRNA from 2 species
GUCUUAACCGGGCGUUAAGUUGCAGGGUAUAGACCCGAAACCCGGUGAUCUAGCCAUGGGCAGGUUGAAGGUUGGGUAACACUAACUGGAGGACCGAACCGACUAAUGUUGAAAAAUUAGCGGAUGACCUGUGGCUGGGGGUGAAAGGCCAAUCAAACCGGGAGAUAGCUGGUUCUCCCCGAAAGCUAUUUAGGUAGCGCCUCGUGAAUUCAUCUCCGGGGGUAGAGCACUGUUUCGGCUAGGGGGCCAUCCCGGCUUACCAACCCGAUGCAAACUGCGAAUACCGGAGAAUGUUAUCACGGGAGACACACGGCGGGUGCUAACGUCCGUCGUGAAGAGGGAAACAACCCAGACCGCCAGCUAAGGUCCCAAAGUCAUGGUUAAGUGGGAAACGAUGUGGGAAGGCCCAGACAGCCAGGAUGUUGGCUUAGAAGCAGCCAUCAUUUAAAGAAAGCGUAAUAGCUCACUGGUCGAGUCGGCCUGCGCGGAAGAUGUAACGGGGCUAAACCAU